rnacentral:tRNA from 1 species
CCGGACGGAGCCGUUGAGGAACGCGGCGGCCACCUGUCGGGCGGUCGGUUCUUGCAGGGCCCGGGCCCCGUACGAGGCGGGGCCUUCGGU